CCCUUAGAUGUUCUGGGCCGCACGCGCGCUACACUGACUGCUCCAACAAGUUACCUGGGCUGACAAGCAUCCGGGAAAUCUUGCAAAGGCAGUCGUGAUGGGGAUAGAUUCUUGUAAUUUUUGAUCUUCAACGAGGAAUUCCUAGUAAACGCAAGUCAUCAGCUUGCAUUGACUACGUCCCUGCCCUUUGUACACACCGCCCGUCGCAUCUACCGAUUGAAUGGAGAGGCAAAAUCUUCGGACCGUGACGCUUGGGAGUCAAAUCUCGGGCUGUCGUGGGAAGUGGAUUAAACCUUUCUAUUUAGAGGAAGGUAAAGUCGUAACA
rnacentral:rRNA from 1 species